CAUGAUCUCAGUGUCAUGAGAUUGAGCCCUGCGUCGGGCUCCGUGCUGGGGCCUGGAGCCUGCUUCAGAUUCUCUCUCUCUGGGGGCACCUGGGUGGCUCAGUCAGUUGGUUAAGGGUCUGCCUUCUGCUCAGGUCGUGAUCUUGGCGUCCUGGGAUCAAGCCCUGCAUUGGGCUCCCCACUCACUGGGGAGUCUGCUUGUCUCUCUGCCCCUCCCCCACUCACACUCUCAUUCUCUCUCAAAUAAAUAAAUAAAAUCUUAAAAAAAAAAAAAAGACUCUCUCCCUUUCCCUCUGCCCACCCUCCCCUUGCCUGCUUUCUCUCUCACUCUCCAAAAAAUAAAAAAUAAAAAAAACUAGCAGGCGAAUAAUGCCUCACUCAGGAGGACAGAAUAAACUGUUCUCACUGUUGGGGCAGCUCAGCUUUCCCUUGCAUCGGUACCAGGGCUGGGACCAUGGUCAGAUGUCCUGAAGAUGUCCAGACACGGUAUCGCAAGUCCAACUAAAACCACAUGACCAUCGUGAGUCCCCGUAACUGAAAAACCAAUACUAGUGUUAAAGAUUUAGCACCUGGAUUGAGACUAGGAUUUCUGGAUUUCAAGUGGCUUAUCCACUGUCUUCCCUAGGAAGGUCUCCACUGCUGGCUUCUCAUGAGGGGCCCCUUGUUCUCCAAGCCCGGGGCUCUUGGUCUUAUCCUUCUAGCUGGAUCCCUUAACUUGUUUUGUUCUGUGCUCUCUCCUCUGAGCCUGCCAUAGGCCAAACCUGGGAGCCGGACCAGGGCCAGGGGGACAUAAAUGAGGCCCCUGUGACGCAACACUGAAGGAGGCACUCACUCUCGGGGUUGUGCAAGUGCUGAUAACUGGGUUAUUUGCACGUGACCAGAAGUCAUCAGAAAAAAAAACCCAAAACAACUCCCAAUAUGAGGGGAAACAUCUCCUGGCACCACAGUGCUCUUUUACUUUUGUUGUUUUGCUUCUUAACUCCGUCCCAGCCCUCCUGUUUGGAGAACCACCCUGAGCCUCCAGCAGCAGGACGGACUCCAAGAUGGAGUUCUCGUAUCCGGAGCACCGGAAGCGCGGGCCGGAGAAGGAGGAAGAAAGCAGGAGGAGGCCAGAUGCUUCCAGCUGGAAGUGUUUGGAUCUGGACACCUGAAGUCUACGCCAACAGUCAAGUGCCAGGAAUAAGAAAGCAGAAAGCAGGAACGUGCCCUGGUCACUAUGCUCUGUAUUCAACCCUACACUGGAUCCGGUCAUUUAGGGGAAACUUGGUUGCCUGAGACAGUCUGGGCUGGCUGGCUGGCUCCAAAU
rnacentral:lncRNA from 1 species